ACAAGCGGUGGAGCAUGUGGUUUAAUUCGAAGCUACGCGAAGAACCUUACCAGGUCUUGACAUACUAUGCAAAUCUAAGAGAUUAGACGUUCCCUUCGGGGACAUGGAUACAGGUGGUGCGUGGUUGUCGUCAGCUCGUGUCGUGAGAUGUUGGGUUAAGUCCCGCAACGAGCGCAACCCUUAUUAUCAGUUGCCAGCAUUAAGUUGGGCACUCUGGUGAGACUGCCGGUGACAAACCGGAGGAAGGUGGGGAUGACGUCAAAUCAUCAUGCCCCUUAUGACCUGGGCUA
rnacentral:rRNA from 1 species